rnacentral:rRNA from 1 species
AGAGUUUGAUCCUGGCUCAGGACGAACGCUGGCGGCACGCUUAACACAUGCAAGUCGAACGAGAGAAGAGGAGCUUGCUUUUCUGAUCUAGUGGCGGACGGGUGAGUAACACGUGAGCAAUCUGCCUUUCAGAGGGGGAUACCGAUUGGAAACGAUCGUUAAUACCGCAUAACAUAAUUGAACCGCAUGAUUUGAUUAUCAAAGAUUUAUCGCUGAAAGAUGAGCUCGCGUCUGAUUAGCUAGUUGGUAAGGUAACGGCUUACCAAGGCGACGAUCAGUAGCCGGACUGAGAGGUUGAUCGGCCACAUUGGGACUGAGACACGGCCCAGACUCCUACGGGAGGCAGCAGUGGGGAAUAUUGCACAAUGGAGGAAACUCUGAUGCAGCGAUGCCGCGUGAGGGAAGAAGGUUUUAGGAUUGUAAACCUCUGUCUUCAGGGACGAAAAAAGACGGUACCUGAGGAGGAAGCUCCGGCUAACUACGUGCCAGCAGCCGCGGUAAUACGUAGGGAGCGAGCGUUGUCCGGAAUUACUGGGUGUAAAGGGAGCGUAGGCGGGAUCGCAAGUCAGAUGUGAAAACUAUGGGCUUAACCCAUAAACUGCAUUUGAAACUGUGGUUCUUGAGUGAAGUAGAGGUAAGCGGAAUUCCUAGUGUAGCGGUGAAAUGCGUAGAUAUUAGGAGGAACAUCAGUGGCGAAGGCGGCUUACUGGGCUUUAACCGACGCUGAGGCUCGAAAGCGUGGGGAGCAAACAGGAUUAGAUACCCUGGUAGUCCACGCCGUAAACGAUGAUUACUAGGUGUGGGGGGACUGACCCCUUCCGUGCCGCAGCAAACGCAAUAAGUAAUCCACCUGGGGAGUACGACCGCAAGGUUGAAACUCAAAGGAAUUGACGGGGGCCCGCACAAGCAGUGGAGUAUGUGGAUUAAUUCGAAGCAACGCGAAGAACCUUACCAGGUCUUGACAUCGUAUGCAUAGCUCAGAGAUGAGUGAAAUCUCUUCGGAGACAUAUAGACAGGUGGUGCAUGGUUGUCGUCAGCUCGUGUCGUGAGACGUUGGGUUAAGUCCCGCAACGAGCGCAACCCUUACUGUUAGUUGCUACGCAAGAGCACUCUAGCAGGACUGCCGUUGACAAAACGGGGGAAGGUGGGGAUGACGUCAAAUCAUCAUGCCCCUUAUGACCUGGGCCUCACACGUACUACAAUGGCUGUCAACAGAGGGAAGCAAAGCCGCGAGGUGGAGCGAACCCCUAAAAGCAGUCUUAGUUCGGAUUGUAGGCUGCAACCCGCCUACAUGAAGUCGGAAUUGCUAGUAAUCGCAGAUCAGCAUGCUGCGGUGAAUACGUUCCCGGGCCUUGUACACACCGCCCGUCACGCCAUGGGAGUCGGUAACACCCGAAGCCUGUAGUCUAACCGCAAGGAGGACGCAGUCGAAGGUGGGAUUGAUGACUGGGGUGAAGUCGUAACAAGGUA